AUACGGGGGGAGCAAGCGUUGUCCGGAAUCACUGGGCGUAAAGGGCAUGUAGGCGGAUUGUUAAGUCAGAAGUGAAAUCUACUCGCUUAACGAGUGAACUGCUUUUGAUACUGGCAGUCUUGAGUACUGGAGAGGUGAGCGGAAUUCCAGGUGUAGCGGUGAAAUGUGUAGAUAUCUGGAAGAACACCGGUGGCGAAGGCUGCUCUCUGGCCAGUCACUGACGCUGAAAUGCGAAAGCGUGGGGAGCGAACAGGAUUAGAAACCCCGGUAGUCC
rnacentral:rRNA from 1 species